AUCUGGGAAAGUCACAUGUCCACGAAUGAUUCAGCUUUUUGUAGGCUGACGCCAUUGUUUACAUGUUAGUUUGAACCUUCCCAGGAAAGCUCAGAUGUGGAUUGGAAUCUCCCGGAGUUCAUUGUCAGUAAAGUGUUUUUUGAUUGGGCACUUACUGAGAAUAGUCCUUUCUCCAGAAGCUGUCCAAAUGCUUCACUGAGGCUACUUAGAAUCAAACACAUUGAGGUACAAGUACAUAGCCAAUAUUCAUAACUUCAAAUACAAAAAUGAUACACACAUACAGACAGCAUAAUCAUACCCAGCAAACGACAACCUUUCCAUAGGCACCCCACUUGACCUCCUCUGUACAAGACCUGGUGCAACCAUAGGACCCUGGUUGCAACAAUGAUCUAUAUGGUCACAGGGAAUGGGUGGGUCAUUACACAAAGUAAAGUAUUUCCCCAUGUUUAUUCCCCCCCUCCACCCCCC